UUAACUCCAAUUUGUAUUGAGUUGGAACGUGUGCCUGCGUUUGCCGUUAGGGGCGCUGUUCCAACUGCAUACAAAUUUGAAUAA
rnacentral:pre_miRNA from 1 species